GAUGAACGCUGGCGGCGUGCCUAAUACAUGCAAGUCGAGCGAACAGACGAGGAGCUUGCUCCUCUGACGUUAGCGGCGGACGGGUGAGUAACACGUGGAUAACCUACCUAUAAGACUGGGAUAACUUCGGGAAACCGGAGCUAAUGCCGGAUAUUAUAUUGAACCGCAUGGUUCAAUAGUGAAAGACGGUUUUGCUGUCACUUAUAGAUGGAUCCGCGCCGCAUUAGCUAGUUGGUAAGGUAACGGCUUACCAAGGCAACGAUGCGUAGCCGACCUGAGAGGGUGAUCGGCCACACGGGAACUGAGACACGGUCCAGACUCCUACGGGAGGCAGCAGUAGGGAAUCUUCCGCAAUGGGCGAAAGCCUGACGGAGCAACGCCGCGUGAGUGAUGAAGGUCUUCGGAUCGUAAAACUCUGUUAUUAGGGAAGAACAAAUGUGUAAGUAACUAUGCACGUCUUGACGGUACCUAAUCAGAAAGCCACGGCUAACUACGUG
rnacentral:rRNA from 1 species